rnacentral:rRNA from 1 species
UACAGAGGUCCCAAGCGUUGUUCGGAUUCACUGGGCGUAAAGGGUGCGUAGGCGGUCGGGUAAGUCUGAUGUGAAAUCUCACAGCUUAACUGUGAAACUGCAUUGGAUACUAUCCGGCUCGAGGAAUGGAGGGGAGACUGGAACAAACGGUGGAGCGGUGAAAUGCGUAGAUAUCGUUUGGAACGCCAAUGGUGAAAACAGGUUGCUGGGAGUGUGCUGACGCUGAGACACGAAAGCCAGGGGAGCGAACGGG